rnacentral:rRNA from 1 species
GAGUUUGAUUCUGGCUCAGGAUAAACGCUGGCGGCGUGCCUAAUACAUGCAAGUCGAACGGACGGAAGGAGAGCUUGCUUUCCUAAAGUCAGUGGCGAACGGGUGAGUAAUACAUAAGCAACCUGCCUAUAAGGACUGGGAUAACGUUUGGAAACGAACGCUAAGACCGGAUAGGUAGUGACGGGGCAUCCUGUUACUAUUAAAGGUUAGAGACACAAAUAGAUGGGCUUAUGGCGUAUUAGCUAGUUGGUGAGGUAACGGCCCACCAAGGCGAUGAUACGUAGCCGACCUGAGAGGGUGAUCGGCCACAUUGGGACUGAGACACGGCCCAAACUCCUACGGGAGGCAGCAGUAGGGAAUUUUCGGCAAUGGGCGAAAGCCUGACCGAGCAACGCCGCGUGAGUGAAGACGGCCUUCGGGUUGUAAAGCUUCUGUUGUAAAGGAAGAACGACUGGAAUAGAAUUUUCAGAGUGACGUACUUAU